AACAACAAGGACAAUUGGCGGGGGGUGUGGGAAUGAAGACUUGAAUGCACUUUAUUUUAAGAAGAAACUCAAUUUUGAUAGAUUGGGAUCCUCAUAGAGGAAUAUAAUUGUCAAGUUUAUUAAAUUUAAAUUUAAUUCCAAUUAAACAUUAGAACAUAACUGUUUAUCUCGUGUGUUUGGUUUUCAUCUUCUCAUCCUAUUCCCCGAGUUCCCUGCAUUACUCUAGGGUCCUUUAACUAAUGUUAACAAACAUUAAAUGACACCCUCCUUCCCUUAAAAAGCAGCAAAAUCCUUAAAAGAAAAGCGAAGAAACUAAUCUGUAGAGACAGAUUCUAAAGAAACACAACAGCAGAAGGCCAAAGAAAAAAAGAAGAAAUUACUGCAGCUAAAAAAUGCAGCAAGCAAUGAAGAAUGACACAACCUGAUAAUGAACAGCACAUGAGCAAAUAUAGAACAAAAGUAGGUGACCGCUAUCGGAAUAGGUAAGUGACCACUAUCGGAAUGCAACCAUCCUCAACAACAACAACAUAAAAGAUGGACCCAGGCAAAGUCGAUAUCGACACUAUUUGAGAAAAACAUUUAGCUAUACGAAAAUGAAUGCAGUGAAGGAAAACCAUAGCUGCUUAACAACCAGCUGAAGGGUCAUAUAACCCUGACAAAGGCUAUUCGAUCGUGCCUAGUCGAAGGCAAUCAAACACACACAACAUUCCUAAACAUGCACAUCAUAGAACCACUGAUCAAAAAUAGGAGGAAGCUCAGACAUGCUCUUAAACCUAAUCAAAAAGUGCUUCCCAAAAAAAAAAA